UUUCGCAAUGCCCGAAAGGGUGACGAAGCGACGCCGCGUGCGGGAAGAAGGCUUUCGGGUUGUAAACCGCUGUCGGGAGUUAGGAAAUGUAAGGACGUUAAUAGCAUCUUUGCUUGACUAAGGCUCCGGAGGAAGCCACGGCUAACUCUGUGCCAGCAGCCGCGGUAAUACAGAGGCGGCAAGCGUUGUUCGGAAUUAUUGGGCGUAAAGAGCACGUAGGCGGCUAUGUAAGUCGGUUGUGAAAGCCUUCCGCUCAACGGGAGAACAGCAUCCGAUACUGCAAGGCUAGAGUGCGGAAGGGGAGAGUGGAACUUCUGGUGGAGCGGUGAAAUGCGUAGAUAUCAGAAGGAACACCGGCGGCGAAGGCGACUCUCUGGCCCGUAACUGACGCUGAGUGUGCGAAAGCUAGGGGAGCAAACGGGAUUAGAUACCCCGGUAGUCCUAGCCGUAAACGAUGGGCACUAAGUAGAGGGGUUUU
rnacentral:rRNA from 1 species